rnacentral:rRNA from 1 species
AACGAACGCUGGCGGCAGGCUUAACACAUGCAAGUCGAGCGCCCCGCAAGGGGAGCGGCAGACGGGUGAGUAACGCGUGGGAACGUACCCUUUGCUACGGAAUAGCUCCGGGAAACUGGAAUUAAUACCGUAUGUGCCCUACGGGGGAAAGAUUUAUCGGCAAAGGAUCGGCCCGCGUUGGAUUAGCUAGUUGGUGGGGUAAUGGCCUACCAAGGCGACGAUCCAUAGCUGGUCUGAGAGGAUGCUCAGCCACAUUGGGACUGAGACACGGCCCAACCUCCUACGGGAGGCAGCAUUGGGGAAUAUUGGACAAUGGGCGCAAGCCUGAUCCAGCGAUGCCGCGUGAGUGAUGAAGGCCUUAGGGUUGUAAAGCUCUUUCACCGGAGAAGAUAAUGACGGUGUCCGGAGAAGAAGCCCCGGCUAACUGCGUGCCAGCAGCCGCCGUAACAC